AGCGAACGCUGGCGGCAGGCUUAACACAUGCAAGUCGAGCGGGCCCUUCGGGGUCAGCGGCGGACGGGUGAGUAACGCGUGGGAACGUGCCUUCUGGUCUGGAAUAACCCUGGGAAACUAGGGCUAAUACCGGAUACGCCCUUUUGGGGAAAGGUUUACUGCCGGAAGAUCGGCCCGCGUCUGAUUAGCUAGUUGGUGGGGUAACGGCCUACCAAGGCGACGAUCAGUAGCUGGUCUGAGAGGAUGAUCAGCCACACUGGGACUGAGACACGGCCCAGACUCCUACGGGAGGCAGCAGUGGGGGAUAUUGGACAAUGGGCGCAAGCCUGAUCCAGCCAUGCCGCGUGAGUGAUGAAGGCCUUAGGGUUGUAAAGCUCUUUUAUCCGGGACGAUAAUGACGGUACCGGAGGAAUAAGCCCCGGCUAACUUCGUGCCAGCCGCCGCAGUAA
rnacentral:rRNA from 1 species